CACGUAGGGGGCAAGCGUUGUCCGGAUUUAUUGGGCGUAAAGAGCUCGUAGGUGGUUCGGUAAGUCGGGUGUUAAACCCCCAGGCUCAACCUGGGGACGCCACUCGAUACUGCUGUGACUAGAGUCCGGUAGGGGAGCGUGGAAUUCCUGGUGUAGCGGUGAAAUGCGCAGAUAUCAGGAGGAACACCGAUGGCGAAGGCAGGUCUCUGGGCAUUAACUGACGCUGAGGAGCGAAAGCAUGGGGAGCGAACAGG
rnacentral:rRNA from 1 species